rnacentral:rRNA from 1 species
AACGAACGCUGGCGGCAUGCCUAACACAUGCAAGUCGAACGAGACCUUCGGGUCUAGUGGCGCACGGGUGCGUAACGCGUGGGAACCUGCCCUUAGGUUCGGAAUAACCCCCCGAAAGGGGUGCUAAUACCGGAUAAUGUCUUCGGACCAAAGAUUUAUCGCCUUUGGAUGGGCCCGCGUUGGAUUAGCUCGUUGGUAGGGUAAAAGCCUACCAAGGCGACGAUCCAUAGCUGGUCUGAGAGGAUGAUCAGCCACACUGGGACUGAGACACGGCCCAGACUCCUACGGGAGGCAGCAGUGGGGAAUAGUGGACAAUGGGCGAAAGCAUGAUCCAGCAAUGCCGCGUGAGUGAUGAAGGCCUUAGGGUUGUAAAGCGCUUGUACCCGGGAUGAUAAUGACAGUACCGGGAGAAUAAGCUCCGGCUAACUCCGUG